UCUGAGCCAAUCUUCUUGGAUGAGAAGCGCAUCUUGGAUGAACCAUGACCAUUCUUGCCUGUGCCAAAAUCCUGUUGUGUUUGUGACUCGAUUCAUCACCCAGAAUGCAUUAGAGAUCACCUUGGGACCACUGCAACUCAGAUUGCUUGGAUAAGUCGAUCCGGCAUCCCUGACCUCUCGACCACUGAAUCCAGCGUUCCCAGGCGCUGCCUCUGAGCCGGCGUUCGUCCCCUCUAUUCUAUUCACCUACGACAAUGAAUUGGAAAGGGGAGUCCUGUGAUAGCCAUUAUCAGAUUUUCGAAGGAGAGAAUCAAAAGAAGAGCAUAGAUGAGUUGCAUGUUUUCUUCAUUGUUUCUUUGACCUCCAAAUUGUUUGCUUCCCAUCAAACCAAAGAAGAGUCAUGUGUGCUACAUGAUUUCGACUUCAGCCCUUCCUGUGAAUUAUGUGAGUCUGGUUACCAAAUCUGGAUGCGGCCAAGCUAAAAUGAAUGUAAGCUCAGAUUGCACAAAAUCAAGACACAAUUUUUGCUCUUUCUUUCUUUCCUAUGAUUAAACUGUUAUUCUGUUUUUCUCAAGGCUUGAUUUAUUCCAUUCUUCUUUUAGGAUAUGGUGAGCUUGUGAUAUGGUUUGAUUUGGACUUCAGUUCCAUUUUUUAACGUGAUUAAACAAUGAAUAUUAGACAGUUUUAUUUCUCCAUGUAAUUUGAGCCAAUGGGAUCCAACUGGAUUGAUGCUAAAUAGAUUUUCAUGUGUUUUUCUAGAUCUAUUUAUCUAUGCCUAACUAAACCAUGUUCCAUGUAAUUCUAAAGUACCAUUUAAGCCAAGUUCUGGCAUCA